ACAUUGACAUUAUAGAUCAAUAUAUAUAAUUGCAAAUUUAUAAUUUAAUAUUGCUAGUCAAAUGCCUAAUGUCAUAAUGUCUAAGAAUGUAUAUUAUAUAGGUACAUUGAUGUAUAUGAUAAUGUUAAAAAUUAAAAAUAAAUUGCCAUCAGUAUUAAAUAAUUAAAUAAAAAUGGAGGAGAGAGCAAUGCUAUGGAUGCUUUCUCUUGUUAUGUUUGUUGGAUCUUGUCUUGGAGCUGGAUCACUGCCAUUAAGUUAAAUAAAUUUAUCAGAAGAAGUAAGAUAUAGAAGUGAAGAAGAAUAUUUUAUGUAAUAUAAAAUUAUGACAAGUUACAAUUAGUUUCAAUAUUAGGAGCAGGACUCCUUGUUGGUACUGCGCUAGCGAUUAUACCUGACUGUACCUGAGGGUGUAAGAGCAUUAUUUACUGUGGAUGGUAUUAAAUAAUGAAAAAGGCAAUUUACAUACUUUAACUUGGAAUUAGUUUAGUACUUGGUUUAUGCUUUUAAUUGAUCAAUGUUCAGCCAGAAAAAGUGGAGGAAGACAAGAAAAGUAUUACAGCAACUUUAGGUCUUAUAGUAGAUGCUGCUAGUUGAUUGGCGGUGUUGCAUUGGGAGGCUGCUGCUACUACAUCUCAAGCUGAUGUCGAAGUGUCUUAGUUUUUCUUCGCAAUAAUGUUACACAAGGCGCCAGAUGCAUUUGGACUUGUGUCAAUUUCUUCUUCAUGAAGGUGUAGAUAGAAAGUAAGAAAAUAAGCAGACACUUAUUAAUUUUCUCUCUUGCGGCACCGUGUCUUGCACUUGUGACAUAUUUUGGAAUUGGAAAAGUAAUGUGAGUGAGUAAUAGUAUAUGGAAUGUAUCGCAAGAUGUGUACACAUACAGUUACACCCCAUAUGCGCACUAUACUUGUUUCUUUUGCUGUAUACAUAUGCGUAUUGUUUAAUAGAAACAUUUAUUAUCUGAAAGGAAAAAAUGUUCCUGCUGAUGCACAAAAGCGUAACGUCAUAUACUGAUAUAUCUAAACACUUAUGAUACUUGCCCUACAGAAUGACAUAAUUUAGAUAAGGAAAAUAC